UCCAGGUGAGCAGUGGCCACGCCCAGGACAGGAAGCCACACCCCCAUGGCCUGAAUCCACAUCCCACAGGGAAGUUUUAACCCGCAGGCCACGCCCUGAAGAUGGCUGUACCCAAAACCCACGAAACUGAACCCCACACUUCUGUCGACUCCCCAGCACUGACCUGUGACUUCAAAAUGGAUGAUCGUGGAUGGGCCAUGUCGCUCAGUGCCCAACUCGCACCGGCCCUUCUUUGCUAACAGGCAGGCUUCAGUCUCCGCCCUGUCAAGACUCCAUCUCUCCUCUGGCUCCGCCUCUCCUGCGCCAACCCCUCCCGUUGGCCCCAGCCUCUCACCUCCGCAAUCUGUGGACUUUCGACAAAGGUAAAGGUGCUUUCUGCAUAUGUGACACCAGAGCAGAAGCUGCAACAUCGUACCUGAGGGGAGAGAUCAAGGCUCUAUUUAUCCUAACAGAGGAGGCUACAAGUAGAGGGCAGGGUCAAGGGCUGGGGAGGGAUCAGGCGCCUAAUCCCUAGAGGUCAGCCCAAGGGGCGGGGCUAGAAGGCAGUCCUCCCUGAAGAGGGGUGUAACCAGUCUCAGGAAAGAGCCCCCAGAGAAGGGGACCCGUUGCCCAGGAAGUCCGCUGUGCAGAAGGACUACUGGGGACCAGGAACCUCUCAGACGUGGGGAAGGAAGAACCGUUGAGAUCCAAAGCAGGAGGAGAAAGGCUGGGUAUUCACGGGGCAAGGAUGAGGGAUAAAAAACCAUCUUCCAUAA